UGCCAGCAGCCGCGGUAAUACGUAGGGUGCGAGCGUUGUCCGGAAUUACUGGGCGUAAAGAGCUCGUAGGUGGUCUGUCGCGUCAUUUGUGAAAGCCCGGGGCUUAACUCCGGGUUGGCAGGUGAUACGGGCAUGACUGGAGUACUGUAGGGGAGACUGGAAUUCCUGGUGUAGCGGUGAAAUGCGCAGAUAUCAGGAGGAACACCGGUGGCGAAGGCGGGUCUCUGGGCAGUAACUGACGCUGAGGAGCGAAAGCAUGGGUAGCGAACAGGAUUAGAUACCCUGGUAGUCCAUGCCGUAAACGGUGGGCGCUAGGUGUGGGUUUCCUUCCACGGGAUCCGUGCCGUAGCUAACGCAUUAAGCGCCCCGCCUGGGGAGUACGGCCGCAAGGCUAAAACUCAAAGGAAUUGACGGGGGCCCGCACAAG
rnacentral:rRNA from 1 species